GAUGAACGCUGGCGGCGUGCCUAAUACAUGCAAGUCGAGCGAACAGACGAGGAGCUUGCUCCUCUGACGUUAGCGGCGGACGGGUGAGUAACACGUGGAUAACCUACCUAUAAGACUGGGAUAACUUCGGGAAACCGGAGCUAAUACCGGAUAAUAUAUUGAACCGCAUGGUUCAAUAGUGAAAGACGGUUUUGCUGUCACUUAUAGAUGGAUCCGCGCCGCAUUAUCUAGUUGGUAAGGUAACGGCUUACCAAGGCAACGAUGCGUAGCCGACCUGAGAGGGUGAUCGGCCACACUGGAACUGAGACACGGUCCAGACUCCUACGGGAGGCAGCAGUAGGGAAUAUUCCGCAAUGGGCGAAAGCUUGACGGAGCAACGCCGCGUGAGUGAAGAAGGUCUUCGGAUCGUAAAACUCUGUUAUUAGGGAAGAAAAAAUGUGUAAGUAACUAUGCACGUCUUGACGGUACCUAAUCAGAAAGCAACGGCUAACUACGUG
rnacentral:rRNA from 1 species